UGGGGAAUAUUGCGCAAUGGGCGAAAGCCUGACGCAGCGACGCCGCGUGGGUGAUGAAGGUCUUCGGAUCGUAAAGCCCUGUCGGAGAGGAAAGAACAACUUGUAGUAACGUACAAGCCUGACGGUACCUCUUCAGAAAGCACCGGCUAACUCCGUGCCAGCAGCCGCGGCAAUACGGAGGGUGCGAACGUUGUUCGGAAUCACUGGGCGUAAAGCGCGUGUAGGCGGCACAGUAAGUCAGAUGUGAAAGCCCUCGGCUCAACCGGGGAAGGGCAUUUGAAACUACUGAGCUAGAGUACGGGAGAGGGUUGUAGAGUUCCCGGUGUAGAGGUGAAAUUCGUAGAUAUCGGGAGGAAUACCAGUGGCGAAGGCGGCAACCUGGACCGAUACUGACGCUGAGACGCGAAAGCGUGGGGAGCAAACAGG
rnacentral:rRNA from 1 species